UGAACGCUAGCGGCAGGCCUAACACAUGCAAGUCGAGGGGUAGAAAGUGCUUGCACUUUUGAGAGCGGCGCACGGGUGCGUAACGCGUAUGCAAUCUGCCCUCUACAGGGGAAUAGCCCAGGGAAACUUGGAUUAAUGCCCCAUAGCAUUAAGGAACGGCAUUGUUCCUUAAUUAAAGAUUUAUCGGUAGGGGAUGAGCAUGCGUACCAUUAGCUAGUUGGUGUGGUAACGGCACACCAAGGCUACGAUGGUUAGGGGCCCUGAGAGGGGGAUCCCCCACACUGGUACUGAGACACGGACCAGACUCCUACGGGAGGCAGCAGUGAGGAAUAUUGGACAAUGGGCGGGAGCCUGAUCCAGCCAUUCCGCGUGCAGGAAGACGGCCCUAUGGGUUGUAAACUGCUUUUAUACGGGAAGAAACACCCCGACGUGAGGGGGCUGACGGUACCGUAGGAAUAAGGACCGGUUAACUCCGUGCCAGCAGCCGCGGUAAUACGGAGGGUGCAAGCGUUAUCCGGAAUUAUUGGGCGUAAAGCGUCCGCAGGUGGCAUCUCAAGUCGGCUGUCAAAUCCCAAGGCUCAACUCUGGAUCGGCAGUGGAAACUGAGACGCUAGAAUCGUUGUGAAGUGGCUAGAAUAUGUAGUGUAGCGGUGAAAUGCUUAGAUAUUACAUAGAAUACCGAUUGCGAAGGCAGGUCACUAACAACGCAUUGACGCUGAUGGACGAAAGCGUGGGGAGCGAACAGGAUUAGAUACCCUGGUAGUCCACGCCGUAAACGAUGGAUACUAGCUGUCCGGCGCACAUUGGUGUGCUGGGUGGCCAAGCGAAAGUGAUAAGUAUCCCACCUGGGGAGUACGUUCGCAAGAAUGAAACUCAAAGGAAUUGACGGGGGCCCGCACAAGCGGUGGAGCAUGUGGUUUAAUUCGAUGAUACGCGAGGAACCUUACCAGGGCUUAAAUGUGGUCUGACAGGAUUGGAAACAGUCUUUUCUUCGGACAAGAUACAAGGUGCUGCAUGGUUGUCGUCAGCUCGUGCCGUGAGGUGUCAGGUUAAGUCCUAUAACGAGCGCAACCCCUGUUGUUAGUUGCCAGCGAGUCAUGUCGGGAACUCUAACAAGACUGCCGGUGCAAACCGUGAGGAAGGUGGGGAUGACGUCAAAUCAUCACGGCCCUUACGUCCUGGGCCACACACGUGCUACAAUGGCAGGUACAAUGGGCAGCCACUGCGCAAGCAGGAGCGAAUCCACAAAACCUGUCUCAGUUCGGAUCGGGGUCUGCAACUCGACCCCGUGAAGCUGGAAUCGCUAGUAAUCGGAUAUCAGCCAUGAUCCGGUGAAUACGUUCCCGGGCCUUGUACACACCGCCCGUCAAGCCAUGGAAGCUGGAAGCACCUGAAGUCCGUCACCGCAAGGAGCGGCCUAGGGUGAAGCUGG
rnacentral:rRNA from 1 species